rnacentral:rRNA from 1 species
GACGAACGCUGGCGGCGCGCCUAACACAUGCAAGUCGAACGAGCGAGAGAGAGCUUGCUUUCUCGAGCGAGUGGCGAACGGGUGAGUAACGCGUGAGGAACCUGCCUCAAAGAGGGGGACAACAGUUGGAAACGACUGCUAAUACCGCAUAAGCCCACGGGUCGGCAUCGACCAGAGGGAAAAGGAGCAAUCCGCUUUGGGAUGGCCUCGCGUCCGAUUAGCUAGUUGGUGAGGUAAUGGCCCACCAAGGCGACGAGCGGUAGCCGGACGGAGGGGUUGACCGGCCACAUUGGGUCUGAGACACGGCCCAGACUCCUACGGGAGGCAGCAGUGGGGAAUAUUGCACAAUGGGGGAAACCCUGAUGCAGCGACGCCGCGUGGAGGAAGAAGGUCUUCGGAUUGUAAACUCCUGUUGUUGGGGAAGAUAAUGACGGUACCCAACAAGGAAGUGACGGCUAACUACGUG